GCUAGGAUGAACGCUGGCGGCGUGCCUAACACAUGCAAGUCGAGCGAUUACUUCGGUAAAGAGCGGCGGACGGGUGAGUAACGCGUGGGUAACCUGCCUCAUACACAUGGAUAACAUACCGAAAGGUAUGCUAAUACAGGAUAAUAUAAGAGAUUCACAUGGAUUUCUUAUCAAAGCUCCGGCGGUAUGAGAUGGACCCGCGUCUGAUUAGCUAGUUGGUAAGGUAAUGGCUUACCAAGGCGACGAUCAGUAGCCGACCUGAGAGGGUGAUCGGCCACAUUGGAACUGAGACACGGUCCAAACUCCUACGGGAGGCAGCAGUGGGGAAUAUUGCACAAUGGGCGAAAGCCUGAUGCAGCAACGCCGCGUGAGUGAUGAAGGCCUUCGGGUCGUAAAACUCUGUCCUCAAGGAAGAUAAUGACGGUACUUGAGGAGGAAGCCCCGGCUAACUACGUGCCAGCAGCCGC
rnacentral:rRNA from 1 species